UACAGACGGUCCAAACGUUAUUCGGAAUCACUGGGCUUAAAGAGUUCGUAGGCGGUCAGGAAAGUGGGGUGUGAAAGCCCUCGGCUUAACCGAGGAAUUGCGCUCCAAACUCCCUGACUUGAGGAGGCUAGAGGUAAGCGGAACUGAUGGUGGAGCGGUGAAAUGCGUUGAUAUCAUCAGGAACACCGGAGGCGAAGGCGGCUUACUGGGGCCUUCCUGACGCUGAGGAACGAAAGCUAGGGGAGCGAACGGG
rnacentral:rRNA from 1 species